GCUUGUCUCAAAGAUUAAGCCAUGCAUGUCUAAGUAUAAGUAUUAUACAGCGAAACUGCGAAUGGCUCAUUAAAACAGUUAUAGUUUACAUGAUAAUCGAAUUUACAUGGAUAACCGUAGUAACUCUAGAGCUAAUACAUGCGCAAAUUCCCGACUGUCGCAAGGCGGAAAGGAUGUAUUUAUUAGAUCCAACCAGCCCGGUUCGCCGGAGUCCCUGGUGAGUCAUAAUAACUGAGCGAAUCGCAUGGCCUUGUGCCGGCGAUGGUUCAUUCAAGUUUCUGCCCUAUCAGCUUUCGAUGGUAGGGUAUUGGCCUACCAUGGCGUUAACGGGUAACGGAGAAUUAGGGUUCGAUUCCGGAGAGGGAGCCUGAGAAACGGCUACCACAUCCAAGGAAGGCAGCAGG
rnacentral:rRNA from 1 species